UACGUAGGGGGCAAGCGUUGUCCGGAUUUAUUGGGCGUAAAGAGCGUGUAGGCGGCCAUACAGGUCCGUUGUGAAAACUCGAGGCUUAACCUCGAGACGUCGAUGGAAACCGUAUGGCUAGAGUCCGGAAGAGGAGAGUGGAAUUCCUGGUGUAGCGGUGAAAUACGCAGAUAUCAGGAAGAACACCCGUGGCGAAGGCGGCUCUCUGGGACGGUACUGACGCUGAGACGCGAAAGCGUGGGGAGCGAACAGG
rnacentral:rRNA from 1 species